CUUUGAGAGGUUUCUUAUUAUCUGAAAGUUGAGUAAUAAUGUAAAUGAUUGUGGGUGCAUAUCAAUGUUUCAGCUCUAUUUUAGAGCUUGGUCUUGUUACAUGGACUUCAAUUGUAUGAGCCAAUUCUUCAUCCUACCCUUGCAAAAUGAUUUAACUUCAUAUUAAAUGUAAGUUUUGAGCAGGAGAGAAAAAGAGAAAGAAAAAGAUGCUAUGCCACUUCGACAAGACACUAUCCAAAUAACAUUAUCAAUCUCCUAUCUAUUAUUUUGCAUCAAGAUUUGAUUGAAAAUUUUUCAAUCUUUUACUCCAUGAUUAAGUAAAUUAGUUAGUUAAAAUUGCAUAAGAUAGGCACACUAGCUCCACUAGGCUACUACAAAGCUUAUAGAACAAAACAUCAAACACAUGGUGUGCAUUUUUAGAACAAAUCAUCAAAUGUUGUUCAAAACUCCCAAAUGCAACAACCAAAAGCAGAUCUCCCACAAGCCAUCAUAUAUCCACCAAAUAAAGGAGGAAGAAAAAGAACUAACCUCAGGUUGCUACAGUUUAUCAAACAAACAAUAGGUUGCUACAGUUUAUCAAACAAACAAUAGGUUGCUGCAGUUUAUCAAAAAACCUCAGGUUGCUGCAGCCUGCAGUUUAUCAAAAAACACUCAGGUUGCUGCAAUUUAUCC